rfam:Cronobacter sakazakii ATCC BAA-894, complete genome.
CGCAGGGAGCGGCCAAAACAAAAAAGAAUGAACCGGCAGCGCCAGCCACAGCGCGGCCGGUGAAU